rnacentral:rRNA from 1 species
UACGUAGGGUGCGAGCGUUGUUCGGAAUUACCGGGCGUAAAGCGCGCGCAGGCGGUUUUGUAAGUCAGAUGUGAAAUCCCCGGGCUUAACCUGGGAAUGGCAUUUGGGACUGCAAGGCUGGAGUGUGGCAGAGGAGACUGGAAUUCCUGGUGUAGCAGUGAAAUGCGUAGAUAUCAGGAGGAAUACCGAUGGCGAAGGCAGGUCUCUGGGCUGACACUGACGCUCAUGCACGAAAGCGUGGGGAGCAAACAGG